UACGAAGGGUGCAAGCGUUCCUCGGAAUUACUGGGCGUAAAGCGUGCGUAGGUGGUUUGUUAAGUCUGUUGUGAAAGCCCCUGGCUCAACCGGGGAGGGUCAUUCGAUACUGCUCGACUCGAAGGCAGGAGAGGGAAGCGGAAUUCCCGGUGUAGUGGUGAAAUGCGUAGAUAUCGGGAGGAACACCAGUGGCGAAGGCGGCUUUCUGGCCUGUUCUUGACGCUGAGGCGCGAAAGCGUGGGGAGCAAACAGG
rnacentral:rRNA from 1 species